rnacentral:rRNA from 16 species
UGAAACAUCUAAGUACCCGGAGGAAAAGAAAGAAAACUCGAUUUCCUGAGUAGCGGCGAGCGAAAAGGAAGGAGCCUAAACCAGCGUGCGUGCAUGCUGGGGUUAUGGACCGCAAAAAGUGAGCCCAAAGGCAGGCGAAUGGUUUUGGGAAAGCCAGCGAUAAAGGGUGAAAGCCCCGUAGCCGAAACCGGAAGGCAGCGAGCGGGAUCCGAAGUACCACGAGACACGUGGAACCUUGUGGGAAGUCGGGAGGACCACCUCCCAAGGCUAAAUACUCCUUAGUGACCGAUAGAGCAGAGUACUGUGAAGGAACGGUGAAAAGAACCCCGGGAGGGGAGUGAAAUAGAACCUGAAACCGUGUGCAUACAAGCAGUCGAAG